UCCAUGGUGGGCCGUAGCGGGGAGGGCUCACGCCCUGCCGGUUCCAAGUUCCGGUACGCCAACCCUGCUACGUGCCUGCCACCC
rnacentral:antisense_RNA from 1 species